GUACAAUAAGCAAAAUAAGGGCGUAUGGGGGAUGCCUAGGCUCUCAGAGGCGAUGAAAGGCGUGAUAAGCUGCGAAAAGUUACGGGG
rnacentral:rRNA from 1 species